AUCUGUGUUAGUGAGCACUUCUCCUUUGCCGAGAUAAUCCAUCCACCUCACAGGUGUGGCAUAUCAAGAUUCUGAUUAGACAGCAUGAUUAUUACAAAGGUGGAUUAUCUCGGCAAAGGAGAAGUGCUCACAAACACAGAG